rfam:Haemonchus placei strain MHpl1 genome assembly, scaffold: HPLM_scaffold0004353
CCAACGGCCCUCUUUAGGGCCACAAAUGUUGAACGAAACGAAACGU